UACGAAGGGGGCUAGCGUUGCUCGGAAUCACUGGGCGUAAAGCGCGCGUAGGCGGGUCGUUAAGUCGGGGGUGAAAUCCUGGAGCUCAACUCCAGAACUGCCUUUGAUACUGGCGAUCUUGAGUCCGGGAGAGGUGAGUGGAACUCCGAGUGUAGAGGUGAAAUUCGUAGAUAUUCGCAAGAACACCAGUGGCGAAGGCGGCUCACUGGCCCGAUACUGACGCUGAGGCGCGAAAGCUAGGGGAGCAAACAGG
rnacentral:rRNA from 1 species